AUUUUAGGUCUAGGGAGGGCUUUUAAGAUUUCUUGCAAUCUACUACUUGGAUUGGACUGAAAUUUGUAAAGAAAGAUAGUAGACUUAUUUUUCUAUAUAUAUAAAAAAUUUGGGAUCAAUCCAAUGAUGAAAAAGAGAGAUAUUGGCUCUAGAAGAUUGGCAUCAAGGUUGGAGAAGGAGGUUGGCCAAUACCUGAGCACAUUUUUGAGGUUAUUGUCUAUUUGGUAAUUCCGAUCCUUUCCAAAUUUUUUGUGCUUGUUUUUAACUUAGUUUUUAAGAAGUAUGCAAAAUUUGAGUUAAGAUAAAUAAUUCAUUCAUUAAUUAUUAAGGUUUAAAUAUGUUAUAGAAAUUACUAAGAUUUGGUUAGGAUUUGAUUUAGGGUUUAUGAUUUGGUUAAGAUUUGAUUUAGGAUUAGGAUUUGUUUAGGAUUUGAUUUAGGCUUAGGAUUUGAUUAGGGUUUGGUUUAGGAUUUAGGAUUUAAGGUUUGGUUAGGAUUUGAUUUAGAAUUAGGGUUGGAUUUAGGAUUUAAUUAGGAUUUGAUUUAAGAUUUAAUUAGGAUUUGAUUUAGGAUUUAGGAUUUUAUUAGGAUUUAUUUAAAUUUUAAAUUUUAGUUAGUUUUUGGCCUAAAUUUUGAAUGAAUUCUAAUAUAAUUUUAACUAGGAUUAAAUUAAGAUUGAAUUGAGAUGUACUUGAGAUAUAUAUGUGAUCAUUCUAAUAUUUCUUUAAGAUUUCUUAUUGUUU
rnacentral:lncRNA from 1 species